GUGGGGAAUAUUGGACAAUGGGCGAAAGCCUGAUCCAGCCAUGCCGCGUGUGUGAAGAAGGUCUUCGGAUUGUAAAGCACUUUAAGUUGGGAGGAAGGGCAGUAAGUUAAUACCUUGCUGCUUUGACGUUACUGACAGAAUAAGCACCGGCUAACUUCGUGCCAGCAGCCGCGGUAAUACGAAGGGUGCAAGCGUUAAUCGGAAUUACUGGGCGUAAAGCGCGCGUAGGUGGUUUUGUAAGUUGGAGGUGAAAUCCCCGGGCUCAACCUGGGAACUGCCUCCAAAACUGCAUGACUAGAGUACGGUAGAGGGUAGUGGAAUUUCCUGUGUAGCGGUGAAAUACGUAGAUAUAGGAAGGAACACCAGUGGCGAAGGCGACUACCUGGACUGAUACUGACACUGGGGUGCGAAAGCGUGGGGAGCAAACAGGAUUAGAAGCCCGAGUAGUCC
rnacentral:rRNA from 1 species